rnacentral:rRNA from 1 species
AACACAUGCAGUCGAGGGGUAUAGUUCUUCGGAGCUAGAGACCGGCGCACGGGUGCGUAACGCGUAUGCUAUCUACCUUUUACAGAGGGAUAGCCCAGAGAAAUUCGGAUUAAUACCUCAUAGUAUGUGAGAAUCGCAUGGUUUUCACAUUAAAGUUCCAACGGUAAAAGAUGAGCAUGCGUCCCAUUAGCUAGAUGGUAAGGUAACGGCUUACCAUGGCAACGAUGGGUAGGGGUCCUGAGAGGGAGAUCCCCCACACUGGUACUGAGACACGGACCAGACUCCUACGGGAGGCAGCAGUGAGGAAUAUUGGACAAUGGGCGCAAGCCUGAUCCAGCCAUGCCGCGUGCAGGAUGACGGUCCUAUGGAUUGUAAACUGCUUUUGUACAGGAAGAAACGCUCCCUCGUGAGGGAGCUUGACGGUACUGUAAGAAUAAGGAUCGGCUAACUCCGUGCCAGCAGCCGCGGUAAUACGGAGGAUCCAAGCGUUAUCCGGAAUCAUUGGGUUUAAAGGGUCCGUAGGCGGUUUAAUAAGUCAGUGGUGAAAGCCCAUCGCUCAACGGUGGAACGGCCAUUGAUACUGUUAAACUUGAAUUACUAGGAAGUAACUAGAAUAUGUAGUGUAGCGGUGAAAUGCUUAGAGAUUACAUGGAAUACCAAUUGCGAAGGCAGGUUACUACUAAUGGAUUGACGCUGAUGGACGAAAGCGUGGGUAGCGAACAGGAUUAGAUACCCUGGUAGUCCACGCCGUAAACGAUGGAUACUAGCUGUUGGGAGCAAUCUCAGUGGCUAAGCGAAAGUGAUAAGUAUCCCACCUGGGGAGUACGUUCGCAAGAAUGAAACUCAUAGGAAUUGACAGCGGCCCGCACAAGCGGUGGAGCAUGUGGUUUAAUUCGAUGAUACGCG